AGAGUUUGAUCCUGGCUCAGGAUGAACGCUAGCGACAGGCCUAACACAUGCAAGUCGAGGGGCAGCACAAGGAGUAAUCUGAGGCGGCGACCGGCGCACGGGUGAGUAACACGUAUGCAACCUGGCUGUAAGAGGGGAAUAACCCGGAGAAAUCCGGACUAAUACCGCAUAAUACUUAGAAUCCGCAUGGAUUUUAAGUUAAACAUUUAUGGCUUACAGAUGGGCAUGCGUAUGAUUAGCUAGUUGGAGAGGUAACGGCUCCCCAAGGCAACGAUCAUUAGGGGUUCUGAGAGGAAGGUCCCCCACACUGGUACUGAGACACGGACCAGACUCCUACGGGAGGCAGCAGUGAGGAAUAUUGGUCAAUGGACGCAAGUCUGAACCAGCCAAGUCGCGUGAAGGAAGAAUGUCCUAUGGAUUGUAAACUUCUUUUGAAGGGGAAUAAAGUACGGUACGUGUACCGUUUUGUAUGUACCCUUCGAAUAAGGAUCGGCUAACUCCGUGCCAGCAGCCGCGGUAAUACGGAGGAUCCAAGCGUUAUCCGGAUUUAUUGGGUUUAAAGGGUGCGCAGGCGGGAUAAUAAGUCAGUGGUGAAAGUUUGCAGCUUAACUGUAAAAUUGCCGUUGAAACUGUUAUUCUUGAGUGCAGACAAGGUAGGCGGAAUGUAUUGUGUAGCGGUGAAAUGCUUAGAUAUAAUACAGAACCCCGAUUGCGAAGGCAGCUUACCGGACUGUAACUGACGCUCAGGCACGAAAGCGUGGGGAUCAAACAGGAUUAGAUACCCUGGUAGUCCACGCAGUAAACGAUGAAUACUAGCUGUUCGCGAUAUACAGCGAGUGGCACAGCGAAAGCGUUAAGUAUUCCACCUGGGGAGUACGUUCGCAAGAAUGAAACUCAAAGGAAUUGACGGGGGCCCGCACAAGCGGAGGAACAUGUGGUUUAAUUCGAUGAUACGCGAGGAACCUUACCCGGGCUUGAAAUGCAAUCGACGGUAGUGGAAACAUUACUUCCAGCAAUGGCGAUUGUGUAGGUGCUGCAUGGUUGUCGUCAGCUCGUGCCGUGAGGUGUCGGCUUAAGUGCCAUAACGAGCGCAACCCUUAUCGUUAGUUGCCAUCGGGUGAUGCCGGGAACUCUAGCGAGACUGCCACCGUAAGGUGUGAGGAAGGUGGGGAUGACGUCAAAUCAGCACGGCCCUUACGUCCGGGGCGACACACGUGUUACAAUGGGGGGUACAGAGGGCAGCUACCAGGCGACUGGAUGCGAAUCUCACAAAGCCUCUCUCAGUUCGGAUCGGAGUCUGCAACUCGACUCCGUGAAGCUGGAUUCGCUAGUAAUCGCGCAUCAGCCAUGGCGCGGUGAAUACGUUCCCGGGCCUUGUACACACCGCCCGUCAAGCCAUGGAAGCCGGGGGGACCUGAAGUACGUGACCAUCACAGGAGCGUCCUAGGGUAAAACCGGUAACUGGGGCUAAGUCGUAACAAGGUAACC
rnacentral:rRNA from 1 species